rnacentral:rRNA from 1 species
CUGAGACACGGCCCAGACUCCUACGGGAGGCAGCAGUGGGGAAUAUUGGACAAUGGGUGCAAGCCUGAUCCAGCAAUGCCGCGUGGGUGAAGAAGGUUUUCGGAUUGUAAAGCCCUUUUGGCGGGGACGAUGAUGACGGUACCUGCAGAAUAAGCCCCGGCUAACUUCGUGCCAGCAGCCGCGGUAAUACGAAGGGGGCUAGCGUUGCUCGGAAUGACUGGGCGUAAAGGGCGCGUAGGCGGCGAUCAAAGUCAGGCGUGAAAUUCCUGGGCUCAACCUGGGGGCUGCGCUUGAUACUUGGUUGCUUGAGUGGGGAAGAGGGUCGUGGAAUUCCCAGUGUAGAGGUGAAAUUCGUAGAUAUUGGGAAGAACACCGGUGGCGAAGGCGGCGACCUGGUCCUUGACUGACGCUGAGGCGCGAAAGCGUGGGGAGCAAACAGGAUUAGAUACCCUGGUAGUCCACGCCGUAAACGAUGUCGAUUUGGAGGUUGUGCCCUUGAGGCGUGGCUUCCGGAGCUAACGCGUUAAAUCGACCGCCUGGGGAGUACGGCCGCAAGGUUAAAACUCAAAUGAAUUGACGGGGGCCCGCACAAGCGGUGGAGCAUGUGGUUUAAUUCGAUGCAACGCGAAGAACCUUACCUACUCUUGACAUCCACGGAACUUGCCAGAGAUGGCUUAGUGCCUUCGGGAACCGUGAGACAGGUGCUGCAUGGCUGUCGUCAGCUCGUGUUGUGAAAUGUUGGGUUAAGUCCCGCAACGAGCGCAACCCUUAUCCUUUGUUGCCAGCACGUAAUGGUGGGAACUCAAAGGAGACUGCCGGUGAUAAACCGGAGGAAGGUGGGGAUGACGUCAAGUCAUCAUGGCCCUUACGAGUAGGGCUACACACGUGCUACAAUGGCGUAUACAAAGAGAAGCGACCUCGCGAGAGUCAGCGGACCUCAUAAAGUACGUCGUAGUCCGGAUUGGAGUCUGCAACUCGACUCCAUGAAGUCGGAAUCGCUAGUAAUCGUAGAUCAGAAUGCUACGGUGAAUACGUUCCCGGGCCUUGUACACACCGCCC